rnacentral:snRNA from 1 species
GUGCUCGCUUCAGCAGCACAUAAACUAAAAUUGGAACGAUACAGAGAAGAUUAGCAUGGCCCCUGCACAAGUAUGAUAUGUGAAGUGUCACAAAUAUGA